UGGUGCGGAAAAAGAGAGAAAGAGAAGAAAAAAAUAGAAAAAAUAAUGUAUUUUUUAAAAAAAUAAUGGAUUAUCUUGUUAUUAUGUUUUUUUUGUAUAAUUUUUAUUAUUUUUUGCUGUUAGUUUAGUUAUUAUUGUUAGUUAUUAAGAUUAAUAAAAACUAAAAUUGAUGGUUUUAGUUAGUAUUAUUAUUGUUAGUUUUUAGGGUUUAGUUAUUAAUAAU
rnacentral:lncRNA from 1 species